rnacentral:rRNA from 1 species
UACAGAGGGUGCAAGCGUUAAUCGGAAUUACUGGGCGUAAAGCGUGCGUAGACGGUUAUGUAAGUCAGAUGUGAAAGCCCCGGGCUUAACCUGGGAAUGGCAUUUGAGACUGCAUAGCUAGGGUGCGGAAGAGGGAAGCGGAAUUUCCGGUGUAGCGGUGAAAUGCGUAGAUAUCGGGAGGAACACCUGCGGUGUAGACGGCUUACUGGACCAUAACUGACGCUGAGGCACGAAAGCGUGGGUAGCAAACAGG